UCUCAAAACAAACCGCCGCCCCUCCCUGCUAUUCCUUCUCCCGACGCCUCUUUCUUUUCUAGCGAGACUCACCACCACGUGCUGGUGGCAGCCAACUCUCUCUCCCUCUCACCUUCCUCUUCCCUCCUCUCGUCUGUCUUUCCUUUCGUAUUCUCCUUUUCCUUUCCUCUUCGCUUGCAGGGACAGCAUCAGGCGCAGCAACAGCCACCAGCCACCAGCCACCAGCAGUUUCGCCUAGGACUGCCAGGAAGCAGCGACCAGCAAUAGUGCCUUUCCAGCGCCGCCUCGACUCCUCUUCUCCGCCUCUCGUUCUUCUUGCUCUUUUCCUUCUUUUCCCUUUCUUUUUUUUGCAAGACCAACAAAAGCCAGGGACAACGUCGGACAGUAACGACUUCAGGGAGCUCCUCAAACUGCAAGACCCUGUCACAGUUGCUGCUCAGAUCAGAAAAUGGGAAGCAACCCAAAGAUAAGGCGGAUAUCCAAGGUUCGCCCUAGGUACGAUUUUAUUUAUCCGAAAUUCAAUUUCCCAUGAAUGUGAUUGCUUGUUUUUGAAAUACCGUGAUAAAAUUUAUAGUUGUGCUUUUACUGGUUUUACAUAAAAUAUUACUUUUAUCUAAUAUUGCUAUGGUAUUUGUAUUCGGCACUUUUUAGUCACUCUUCUUGCUGACUUAGUGAAACAAUAGCAUUCAUGAUCUUUCUUUUUAAUCUUUCACAUGUAAAGUUUUGUUAAAUAGUUGGUGUAUUUUGUUUAUCGUAUUAUUUCAAAUAGAGAAUUUUGUAUGUCUACGUUUGCUGAUUUUGAACCUCUAUAAUCUUAAAAAUCUAAAGUUUGAGGGUAUUGCAUUAUGUCUCUCAUCGAUAUGUUUCCCUUGUAUAAUUUGGAAAAAGUAUUUAUUAUGCUUAAUUGGGGGAUCUAUUUUUAUAUAUCUCAAAGCCAAUUUAAAUAUGUGAAUUAAGUUUGGUACUCCCUUAUUCAUGAUAACUUGUUAUGGUUACUUCGAAUAGAAUAUAUUUGACUAAAUUAGUAGGAAAUUCCCAUGAUAUUUUGAUCAUAGAUAUUUGUUCAUAUUUGCCUUUCUUAUUUAAUCAUAUAUGUUUUUGUUUGAUUAUGUCAAUUUACCAUUUUAAAUUAUGGUCUUUACUUGUGAUAUAUUAUGCUACUAUAGUUACUAAUUUCCUUUUACUUUAUUUUAACUAAUUUUCUGAUGUCUUUUACAUUUUUGGUAAAAAUAAUAAUAAUAACAUCUUUUGACUCUCUUGAAUUAAGAAUAAUAUUAAUUGACCUCCUUUUCCUUUAUUGUUUGUGUAGAUUCAUUUAUGGUAUUAUUAGGUAAAUGUUUGACAACUUUAAAUUAUUUCCUUAUAAAAUUUAGUUGCUCAUAUGUUUGGUAAAAUAAUAAUAAUAAUUCAAAAUUUGAUUUUACCUCUUCUUUAUUAAUAAUAAUAAUAAUAAUAAUAUUCCUCCCUAUUCGUAAAUUAUUUUCUAACUUGUUUUUAUAUGGUAAAAUAAUUUAAAAAUAAAUUUUAUUUGGCCCUUCCUUAUUCAAGGAAUAUAUUACUCUUCCUUAUUUAUUUUUAUUUGGUUAUAUUUUGUAGCAUAAUAACAAUUUCAUAUUAUUUUGGAUAUUCAUUAUUUAAGGGAAAAUAUUAUUGUUUUUCCUAACUUUUAUUCUUACUAGUUUAUUUUUGGUAAUGAAUUUUUAUAAAACUUUCUGAUCUUUAGCUCUUCUUUAUUUAAGGAAAAAAUCUAUUACUCUCUCUUAAUUUAUUCGUACUUGCGUAUAUUUGGUAAAAAUAAUUUAAUUUUUUUUCGGAUUUUGGAUCUACUUUAAAAAACUGAAAAAUGGUAAUAUAAUUGAUUCCUUGAUAUAUUUAUUUUCAUUAUUUGGUACCACCUCUUCUACUAUAUAAGAUAGCCCCUUUGUAUUCUUUAAACAGACACUCUCAAAUCUUGAGAAGAACUCACAUUCUCCAAACUCACAAUAAUGCAUUCACUCGCUCUUAACAUAAGAGUUCUCACUCUCUUACUAGUCAUAUUAUUUCUACUCUUAAACAAAAUAAGAUCCCGGUAACUUUCAAGUGUUCUCUUGGCCCUUGCUUUUGUUCGAGUAAAAGUUGAAUUAACUUGUUCUCGUUGCUACCAUUUUUCUGCUUAAUCGGUUAGUAUUCUUUAUUAGCAUUUUACUAUUGGUCAGCCUGCUAUGAUUAUUUAUUAAUUUUGUUUUGUAUUUAUUAUUAUUGUUGUGUGUUGGGAAUAAAAGGAAACACUCCUUAUCUUUUCCCCCAUGUGUGGUGAUAUGUCUACACCUAUGUUUUAUCCUUUUUAUUUCUUAUGUGUUGUUAUUUAUAUAUGUAUAUAUGAGAUUAAUUUGUUACAAUAAAAAUUUUACAUUACAAUCAUUCUUCCAUUGUAUACGUGUUACCUUGCUUAUUCUAGCAGGUUUUGGACUUAAAGUUCAAGAUGAUGAAGAGUGACCUGAAGAAAUUUCGAACAAAGCUUUGUUUAUUAUGUUUUGUAUUUUUUCAUCUGUUAUUUUAUUUACAGUAUAUUUGUAUAACACUAAAGAAAUUCAUAUAUGAUGAAAUUUGAGGGAUCGCCUAGGAAGGGGAAAUUAUGUGUUUAUCUUCUUUUUUAUUACAUACUUGUUUGGGUCAGUCAAUUGCCACUUCCUGGCAUUGUUGAGUUCCAAGUUGGGGUCCUCCUUCAGGGCCCCUUAUGAGUCAUGUGUGCAUUGGUACCCGAACAUUUAUAACCAAAACAUGAUCGUAUACAAGUUUAGGACUUAUCACAUGAGUUUCGUCAAAAAAGAACACGUAAAACUCAACGAGACAUACAUAGACACACAAGGUCGUCUUAAGGCAAGCCUUUCAAACAUCAUGGACGAUGUUAUACUUUUGACCUCAAAAAUUCACGAAACAUGAAACACUUACUAUAUACAAUAUAAUAACUCAUUUAAGAACUUUAUUAUAUCAUGAAUCACACGUAAAUAGAUAAAACCAUAUUUGUGGUACAUAGGUCACUUAGUCGUCAAACAUCUUUGUCGUCCUUUGACGUUUGACU
rnacentral:lncRNA from 1 species